rnacentral:rRNA from 1 species
UACGUAGGGUGGAAGCGUGGUCCGGAAUUAUUGGGCGUAAAGAGCUCGUAGGCGGCUUGUCGCGUCGACUGUGAAAUCCCGUGGCUCAACUGCGGGCUUGCAGCCGAUACGGGCAGGCUAGAGUUCGGUAGGGGAGACUGGAAUUCCUGGUGUAGCGGUGAAAUGCGUAGAUAUCUGGAGGAACACCGGUGGCGAAGGCGGCAUCCUGGACCGGCAUUGACGCUGAGGAGCGAAAGCCAGGGGAGCAAACGGG